rnacentral:lncRNA from 1 species
AUGGUGUCGAAUGUUUCGGAGGGGGCAAGCAUUUGCAAAGGGCUCCUGGACUACUUGACUGCUUAUGGGCGCUUUAAUCCGCUUUGCAGAACGAGCGGAGAGAGGUCUGGGCGUCCUCGAGUGCUUGGCUGUUUGCAAUGGGGCGCUUUAAUCCGCUUUGCAGAACGAGCGGAGAGAGGUCUGGGCAUCCUCGAGUGCUUGGCUGCUUGCUAUUGGGGGUGCUUUAAACCUAUAUCCCAGGAUCUAGUUUCAGAUUAUCUGAUUUAAACUGGAUUAUAUGAGUUCUCUCUGCAGAUAAUCUGGGAUAAGAAGAAAAGUGAUGGAUCUGGACCAAGCUUGGCACACACCAGCUGUGAAUCCUAGGGGGGGUUUUGGAUGGUUGACCCAAGACUUUUGGGAAUUGUAGUUCAUCCAUACAUUUUCUCAUGGGAACAUUCAUAAAAAAGAGAGAGAGAGAGAGAGAGAGAGACCAUGGUGUAAUUUAGUGCAGGGGUUCAUAGUCCCUCAGACUGUUGAGGGGCCAGACUGUGGUGAAAUAGUCCAAAAUUAGGAUUGUUGUUGUUGUGUGCCUUCAAGUCAUUUCAGACUUAAGUCAACCCUAAGUGUAAAGUUUAGGACAGGGGCCAGGUCAAUGGCAUUGGAGGGCCGCAUCUGGCCAACAGCCCUUAGUUUGGGGACACCUGGUGUAGUGCAUUAUGGUUUCCUGAGUCCACCAAUUUAACAAAGUUUCAGCCACAAAAACAAAGUUUCUGAAGUAGAACAAUGACUUUCAAAGUAAAGACAACCCAAUGAAACAGGAAAUAAGACUUCCAAACCAGGAACAGAUUUCUGCAAUUAUUAUAAAAUGGUUUAUUAUAAAAGCUAUAAAAAUUCACCAAAAAUCAGAGGAUAAGGGAAAUGUUUUGAAUUUUGAAGCUAUCAGUGUUAACUGUGUUCUACCACUGUACCAAGUUUGAAGAAGAUAGCUCAAAAAAUGAGGGCGGGAGAGACCUGUAAAGUCUCCCCCCGUGCUUUUUUUGCCACUGCGCAU